rnacentral:sRNA from 1 species
AUAAAUUGAAAUUUUGUCUAAUUUGGCUUUAAUUUUGGAUUUUGUUCUUUGCUAUUCAAAAUUAUUAAGGGUAAUUUGGUCUUAACAAUCACCUAAGUUUUAUAUGAUCCGAUUCAAUCUAAACCGUUCAAUAAAAUUAAUUUCCUUCAAUCUAAACCGUUCAACAAAAAUAAGGAAUCUAUGUCGUUUUUAAAAUAAAAAUAUGAUCACAUUUUAUCCCUAAAAACAUUGUAUUCAAUCACGAAAUCAAUAAUCAAUAAUAUAUAAAUCAUAUAUUACGAUUCUUCACUAAUCACUAGAAAUUUAUAUUUAUAAGUUUAAAAUAUCAAAUUUAUUCAAAUAUUUAGUAUAAAAACCAAAUAAACCGAUCGUCUGCGGUAAACCGCGGGUUAAAACCUAGUAUAAUGUAUUUGAUCAGGCUAUAAUAGUU